CGGAGGCAACGGCAGAUUAGCGAGCGUGCGCUCCAAGCCAAUGAGAAAAAUCCCUGUGAUUGGCACCACACUCACCUGCUUCCCACAUGCAGCUAACAAGGCACAGUUCCAAUGGUGGAACGCAGGGCUUGCGCAACCAGUUGCUACCAACUCUUCGUGACUUCAUGGACCAGCCCACACCAGAGCUUUCUGUCGGAGGGUCCAUCUAUGCGUCAUUUUAAUUUCAGAUGUCUGUGGAGCUACUGAGAUCUUAGGAGCGCUGCCGCCCAGGGUGUGAUUUAGCUAGCAACAACAACAACGACAGCUUUACGCCACAGGGGAUAAUUCGAGAGAAACAGGAUGUGUGGGGGCCCUUUUCUCUCCUCCCCUGUUUUUAUUUUAUUUUUAUUUACAGGGAUGCGUGGGGCUUUCUUGAGCUUCUGGAGGUCCACCCCCUUCCAUGUCCAGCCUAUGGUGACCAAUCAGGAGCACCAUCAGCUGUGACAUGACUCCACAGCCAAAAAAGUUGAGGAUUUUACAGAAACAGUCAUGCUCAGGGAAAUAUGAAGUAUUAUUUUUGCAACUGGUUUGAAAUACCCCAUCGAAGCAACUACGCCAUGAAGCAGAGCAUUCUUCCAUAUACUUUUGGGAGAUUUAAAAAUGAAACUGAGGUUGGAAUUUCAAUUUAUAUAUACUUGUACCAGUUAAAAACAAGUCAACUUAAUAUAGUUCGCUAAAGGAACAAGAAUAAGCAGCUAUAAACAAAGAGGAUGACAGCAAGUAAGAAAUCUUCUAUGAGUACUGAACACAGCUUUAUAAAUAUUGUACAUUAUGCUGUUUUCUCUGAAAUAAAAAUGGAAUGAAUUCUUAGAAAAAGAGGGUUUCCUAACCUUCUUUCUUUCCUUCCCCAGCUCACAAAUAUUUUAACGGGUAGGCAAAGAGGUGCAUUGCCAGACUCUGUUCCCUCCAACAUGGUGUUAUUCACACUUCCUAUUUCCCCUUGUCAGAAGGAGAAGGCUCUAGUAUAGACCUUUCAGACCUUGAUGAGGAUGUGGUUACAGAAGCACCCAUUGAUGCCCCUUCUCACUUCAGGGCCCUCAGCCCCAGAAGAGUCCCUGAAAUCUGCUCCCUUCUUCUGGGGAGGUUGCAUUGUUAACUGUAGAUCCUGAGGUUCUGAAGCCACCACCAGACCCCAGUUGUCUCCAUAUUGCAGCAUAGCCAAAGACUUCAAAAGAAAGCAUGGGCCAUUUAAGGAAGAAGGCCUCAUAGAGUGUGUGGGAGGAAGUAGCAUUCUCUAGGAAGCCCGCCUCCUACUUAUUGCUCAGUGAGUCUACUAUUUGUUGGAGCAACAUAACAAGUUGACCUUGGCAGGCUUUCAGCCAGGGCCACUUAGAGGUCCAUUCCUGGAUUUUUCUGAUAGUUGUGUCUGGCUUUGUCUGAUCUUGCUCCUGAGUUCUGCCCCAUAUUCAAGUAAUAACACAGAUUUAAACAAUAAACAAUAUUUACUUCAAGAUACAAUGCAAUGUGGCCUGAAACAGCACACAGCGGAAGUGGUGGGAUGUAAUAUCUGUUCAUUCCCCCUCCCCUUGUAGCCCCCUGUGCCCUCUAAAAAUCUGUUCUGGAGACCCUCUGGAACAGCUUUGGAAGUGGUGCUGGGGGCUACGCACCUCGGAUAGGUCCUUUAGAGUUCCGCUUGACUGAAACCCAGAGCAGAUUCACUGCCCCACUGACAUUGGAUCCACCAGCCUCCACCUUACAUGGUUUCACAUUGUGUUGUAUUUUGAAGUAAAUGUUGUUUGUUUCUUGUGCAGUUUCAAAAGAUAGUAAAAAUAAGUCAGUAAGCAAGUAGGUACAUCGCUACAUGCUUUACAUGCAGAAAGUCAUAGGAUCAAUCUCUGGCAUCAUCCAUUAAAAAAAUAUGAGGCAGCAAGAUUUGGGGAGGAGGGACUGGUGAGGGUACACUGGGAACUAGUCCACCUCACAGAACUACAGUCCCCAGGAUUCCCUGCUGAGAGGAAAUAAGUAUUAAAGUAGCUUAAGCCUUCAGUGUAGAUGAGGCCUAAGUGAAGGAAGUUUCAGGUUAAUGUCCUCUUGCAUCCCUCCUUCCAGUGACGCACAAACGUUGGAAGGUUUUUGAUAUUACAAAGAGGAGAGCCUAUUCAUUGCCGAAGAUUAUGUAACUCGGUGAAUUUUUACACAUGCAUGGUUUAGCAGAAAACACACACACAGAGAUUUUCCAUUAGCAUUUGCUUUAUUUAUCACAUUCCUGAAGUAAAGCCCAACAGAUGCAACUGUAUUUGCAGAUCAGACAGCACAUAUUAAUGGCAAAAGGGAGGGGUAUUUAAUUGAAGUCUAUGGGAGAGCAGCAACGACACUCAACUCAGGUAGCUGGCAGAAUGUGACAGUUUUUCUUUGGCUUCAUGGAUGCUUAUAAUUUAUCGGAACGAUAUAAAGAGCAAAACAAACCGGCACAAUAGGGCACAAUCCAGUGUGCAGUUGAAUAAUGGAUUGAGUCCUUUUGAUUUCUCAAUUGCACACUUUGUCCUGACAGAUUUACUAGUUCUUUCGCAUGAUACUUGCGAUUAUCAUUUGAUAAUCUGAACAUAGGAAGCAACUCUAAGAUAUUUAUUGUUGUUGUUAUUUAGAUUAUCCACUCCUUUACCAAUAAAUAUCCAAAAUGGCAUACACGGUAACACACAUUAAAGAAUAAAUAUACCAUAUUAAGACUGGCAAUAAAUGAGACCAUGAAUGUUACUGACAUAUUGGAAAUACAAAUCAUCAAUUCGUGACAUGUUUGUAGCUUUCACGUCCUAAUGUGUCCACUUUUAUCUCCCCUAAAUAACUACUAUGUAUGCAAAACAACAACACCUUCCCUCCAAAACAAAAACCCAAAACAAAACUGAGAAAUCCUCUGAAAUGUAUUAACUGUGAAAAACUAUCAAGCUAGGCUCUUGAAAACUAGGCUGUUCAAUAUAUUGCAGAUAUUACAAGAUAUAAUCCAGGAUAUGCAACUGGCUUCCAAACCAGCUGAGGGCAGCUUUCUUCCAAGUAGGCCGUUCAGAACUUUGGAGAUUUAAGUGGAAACAGGGAGAAAACUCUCACACACACCAUUAAAGCUAAAAACAAGACUGGGGCCGUUUCUACACCUGCUUUUCCCCCCAGGACCAGGAUGAUCCCUGUGCAUGGAUCUCGGGAGCAGUCUGAUCCUUCCUUCUGAAACGAUGACCUUGAUGUAUUAGUCAAAGCACAAAUAAUCACAGAAUCGUGGAAUUGGAAAGGACCACAAAGAUCAUCUAGCCCAACCCAUUGCAACAUGCAGGAAAACCACUUAAACUAUACAUAAGAGGUGGCUGUCCAGCCUCUUGAAAACCUCCAGAGAUGGAGAACCCACAACCUCCAUAGGUUCAAUGGAUGCAUAAUUGUAAAACCACUUAAAAUCUUAGAAUACAGGAGACAAAGAAUCUGGAGCCAAUGUAGUAAAAUAUAUGCACAUCACAGACUGAUGUGUAACAGAAAUUGUUGUAAUUUGGGGGCAAGAACACAGGACACAUUUUUUAAAGCAACAACAAUACACUCACAACAGCCAUCUCAUAACAUUAUUGUGCCUUAAAGUAAACAUGAAACCCCUGCACCCCCUGAAAUUUCCCCGAAUUCUCCUCAUACUCCUGUUUUUGAGGGAAAUUUAUUUUCACCCCUCCUCUCUCCUUAGACAAAAUGAUUGGCACAGCACUGUUUUUUUUUUAGUGAGACUUGUAAGGGACUCUAAAGUUUGAGCUGGUUUCUGAAAUGAAGUCAGAUAUACAUUAAUACAUAAAAUAUGCAAUCUUAUGCAUGUCGAGACAGAAAAAAACCCUCUAUAACUCUCAGCAUUCCCCAGUCAGCAGUGCUAGCUGGGGAAUGCUGGGAGUUGUAGGACUUUUUUUUAUCUAAACAUGCAUUGGAUUGCACCCUAAAUGUCUAAAAGGAUCUGGGGGGAUCCCACAGGGUUGAAAUGUAGAAGAAAAACAUUAGAAAUCACAAAAUAUCACCGAUGGGAAAUCAAUAAUGUGACAAGACCACUGUUUAGAACUGAUUGCACAUGUCUUUGUUUUUAAAAAUCUUCUGUCAGCAUAAACCUUACCAGUUACACAGAGGGAAUAUGAAACAAUUAAAUGCAAAUUCCAAGGUGAGCCUUUGCAGGACAUAGCUCACAAUAUGUGGCAUGCUAAACUGGCAUGCCAGGGUUUUCAACAAUGCCUGUGUGGGACAAAUUACCUUCCACAGGUCAAAUUUCUAAAUUAUGAAAGAAGAUACAAAUCCAUGUUAAGAUUGACAUGAGGAGACACUAUUUCUGAAUAGUGAAUAGUAUGUAUUUCUGAAUACAUACAUGCUGUUGGCAUGUAUGUAUUAUGUAAACAUGAUGAUAGAUAAAGCUAAAGGUGAUGAUAUAUAUAUAAAAAAUGAAAUAGAAAUAUAACCUAAGUUACAAAACUGCAUCUCAACCUCUCUUGGUGCCCAUGAGGCUUCUGCUCCUCCUGAUUUUUAUUUGAUUUUAAACUUUUUUAAAUUAAAAAAAAUAACUGGCGGGAAUGGUUCAGAGUCAAGUGUCAGCACCCAACACCAUGCCUCUGGGUCUCACAUCUCAAAGCCUCAACAGUUUGCCUUCUGUGAAAUGAGUGUUGGAGAUGAAAAAUGUGGGCUCAAAAAGUGUUUUUGUGUGUGUUUUGGAGCUCAGAUCCUAGCUCUAUCAUUGUGUCCAUGGGCAAGCCCUCCAUGACAGCCAUUUUGUGAGAGCACUCCCAAUCUCAAUAUUCCAAAUGUGUCCACUCAACUCCCAAAAAUUCAGGAACCCCUGAUCUAGACCCACUGUUCAUUCCAUAAUGGAAUUAAAUGUAAUAUACAUGGGGUUCUUUCCAGGAAAUCUAGAGCUACUAGACCCAGACCUACUUAUCUUCAAUAAUAUUGUUAUAUCAUACAUCUCCUGACUAUACUCUGGAUCAGUUUUAGAAUACUAUCAAAGUAACAGAAAGACUGAUAUAGGGGAACUUGCAAAAAGAGCUUGAUCUAGCGCAAAGUUCUAGUGUUCUCAAACUGCUUGGAUAGAGUCUGUUUAUUUAUUUAUUUAUUUAUUUUUAUACCAUCCAAUAGCCAAAGCUCUCUGGGUGGGUUAAAAAAAAUUAAAACCAUAAGUGCAGAUUAAAGUAUAAAAUAUGGAAGCUUAAACUACAAUAUAAAACCACAAUAAAAAUACAACCAGAAUAAAAUUGAGUACCAACACAGAGAUUUUACAGAUUAAAAUACAGAUUUAAAACAGUACUUCAACUAAUUCAACAUUGAUUUGAGAAGGAAAAUAGCCUGGACUGUCCAAAGUGAUCACACUUAAUUUUGAAACAAAAAAUGUCUCAAAAAUUGUAGAAUUAAUUAAAAGCAAACUGAACAGAUGAUCAGGAGCCGGCAAAUCAGUUCAGGACAUGUGGAGGUCAUUCAACGCUUCUGUAAUAAAGGCUUAGAUGAAAUGAUUAAAAAAUGCACUAACUAGUUCAAAAGGGUUCUGACAGUUAAAUAAGUUAAUAAAUAAAAGUCAAAGAGUUUAUAAAUGGCAAGAAUUGGGGUUUUGUUAGUGGAUAGAGUGUCUGCCCAGUUUAAUCUGUUCUGGACCAGGUUGUGCUUUAGGGUUCUCCAUAAAGCAAGGAGUAGACAGCCUGUUGCCCUCCAGAUGUUUUGGACUACAACUCCCAUAACUGCUGACCAUUGGCUAUGCUGGAUGCAAAGUAUAGGAGUUGAAUUCCAAAACAUCUAGAGCGCACCAGCUUGCCUACUGCUCCCUAAAAACCAGAUUCAUAAUCAUUGAUCCACCCUUGUAUCAGGAGACACAAGUCCCGCACAUGGCCCAUAGUGCAUUAUAUCUUAGGGUGAUAUCCCAGAAAUGACCCUACCUGGGCAAAGACAGCUUUGCUUCCACUAUCAAUGCCUUGGUAAUAGCCUGUUUGGACUACUAAAAUGUGUGGUAUAUGGGGCUAUCUUUGAAAAUGGUCUAUAGAGAUCAGUUAGUUCAGAAUAUGGCUAUGAGUCUGCUAACUUGGAUUGGGCAAUAUCAGCACUUCACACCGGUAGUUCAUCAUAUUCACUGACUACCAAUCUGUUUCUGGGCCAGGUUGGAGGCUGAUUUUUGGAUUUUAAGACCCUUCAAAGCCAGGUACAACAAGGGACAUCAGAUAAUUCCAAGAAUGAGUGGAUGAUGGAAUGAAAAGCACCUGACAAUCUUCGAAAUGCAGGUGGAAUGGAUUUCACAAAAUUCGUACAUCUCUUGGCGCAAGCUCUCUCCCACACGUACACACCCAGACUAUGCGGAAAUGUCUUUCUUCAGAGGUCAUUUUCCAGGUGCUCUUGCCAGGCUGAUUACGUUCAAAGAUCUCAUGGUAGCAGACUUCCCCCUCCAGUUUUAUCUUCACAACAAAUGUAUAAGGUAGAUUAGGCUGCUUGAUAGUAACUGGGACAAGGGCCUCACAUUGGUAUUUGGGCCUAGGUCUCCUCAGUUAUAACUUUAAACUCUAACACAACCUUCCCCAACCUGGUGCCCUUCACAUGUAUGGGACUGCAACUCCCAUGAUUCCUAGCCAAUAGCCAUGCUGACUGGGAAUCAUGGGAGCUGCAGUCCAACACAUUUGGAAGGCACCAGGUUGGGGAGGGCUGCUCUAAUGACAAAGCCAAUCUGGCUUUACGUCAAAUAGAAACAAGAAAUGAUGAAGUCUUAGAACCAAUGGACAGACUGACAUGUUCCCAGGGCAGCAUGGCAUUCAUCCGAGAGGUUUUGAAGAACUAAAAUGUAAAAUUAACUAGCAUGGGUAUUGUUACUAGCUUAGCCAGGGCAAGCUUAUUUUGUUUAAGCCCAUAUCCUGCUAUGUGUUAAAAAAAAAUUGGUCAUGGAUUAAAAGAGAAGCAAAGCAGAGUCUGCAUACUGAGUCUAAUAGGAGAUGAAAAAGCUAUUCUUCUAAGUGUGACACCCACUUCAUGCUGAAUAAUACGUUCGCCAAAUACCUGUCAGUUUACUGAACACCUGUUUUACAUUCCAGCAUGUGAAACCCACGUAGAUUUGAAUGCAAUAAUUGGUGCCGAGAGCUUUCUUUAUGAUGAUGUUGCUUCCCAAUGCAUGCCUUGUUUUACCUGUCAGUAAUUUGGAACCCCUCACUUUAAAGUAUUGUUGCUUUACAAGAGGUUGUUUGGCAGGCAGGCUUUGAGAAUACCAAAUUACUAACAUUCAGUCUGAUCCACAAACCAAUACGCUAACACAAUCAUCAUAAUCAAGACGGGGCUGUACGCUGGGAGGGGGGCUUGAAGAUCACAGUUGUUGACAUAGUUGUAAUGUCUUUUUUGAAAAGGAGAGAGAGAGAGAGAGA